ensembl:lncRNA
AUUUUAUUUUGCCUUCUUGCCACAAACGGAACAUCCUGCAGGUGUAGCUCUCCCGCAUCUGGCCUCUUCCACCCCAGGGCGGGCCCUGGAACCCAGGGGGCACGGGGCGGGGGCCCGCAUUGCCCUGGAGAGCCGGGCUCUUGAGCAGCCUCGAGGGCACGCUGCCCGGUGCCGGAGGUGCGUCCUCACGGAGGCGACUGCCGCAGAGAUGGACUUUCUGGCCGAGACCAGCCAGUGGAGCUGCUGAGCCCUGCCCGCGUGAACCACAUGCCCAGCACUGGUAAGUCCGCACGCCCAGCCCCAGUGGGCAGCCCAGGUGGAGGCCCCCUGCCCGGGGGGCUGUGGAGGGGCGGGGGGCCUCCCAAAGCGGUGUGCCCUUUCCUGGGGUAGAAGAGGCCGCGGCUUUUGGAAAUGAAAGGGCGUGGCCGGUGCUCUGUCGCAGGCAGAGACAUGCAGGUCCCUUCCGACCCCAGCGCCGGCGCAUGGGUGCUUGCCAAGGGAAGCCUGGCCCGUUAGGGGUCUAACUCCGGGCCCUGCGCCUGAGCUGGGGACGCUUGCGGGCAGACGGCGCCGGGUCCGGGCCUCGGGCUCUUGGGGGGGCAGAGGGGCCCGUGUCGUUUCCGUCGUUAGUGGCCCAAAAGCUCCAGCGUGACUCUCCAUGUCUGGUCCCACGGACGCCAGUGCCCGGCCUCAGGCCUUGGAUGUGCACCUGGAUCUGCAGACCUGCUCGGCCCUGGGGCUUUCUUCUCUCGUCUUCUUUUGUAAAACACCUCCUCGCCCCCACCUGGCGUCCUCCGGGAGGCCAGCUCAGACCCGCGGCUGCUGUCCCUGGGCUCCCGGACCUUACGGAGGCGAGGCCGAGGGUGGAUGUGCGGCCCCGUUGUCGCCGUCCCACGUGUGUCCCUGAGCCGGCGUUCUCCCGGACCCCAGCCUUCCGGGGGCCCGCUUUCCGAGGGCAGGGCUGGCUGGGACGGGGAGUCGGGGAGCCCUGCCUCUGCUGUGGCACCCCCAGCAGACCCGCCGCCUCACUCCCCCUCCUCUUCAAAGGGGUCGAACCUCGAACGAGGCUGUGGGUAGCGGAGACCCUUCGCACGGUGACCUGAGGCCUGUCAAGGACCGUUUCUGGCGUCUCUGCAGCCCUGGGGCUCAGUCGCUGGUGCGCCCGCUCCCAGAAGGCGCUGGGCGUCCCCGGGCUCGCGCUCCGGCCUCCCUCCGGGGCCCACGCCCUCCCCGGCCUCGGCCGCACCUGUCCGGUGAAGCCAGGGCUUGGGGCCGGUAGGAGGCUUUAAACUGGCGGCGCAGACGCUGUCUUUCUACUUUGGCCCCGUGAACAGUCCUGAUUUCGUUUUCUCUGGAGCCCUUUUGUCAGGGGAUCCGCUUUUUUUAAACUCUGGGUCCUUGUGCAGCCUGGGUAUUUUGGACAGUGUCCUGGCGUUCACCCCGGCGUGGGAUGGGUUUUUCAGUCGCUUGAUGACUUGUGAAAAGGUGCUUUCCAGGCAAACUGGAAAGUGGGUGGGCUUCCGACUGGUGUUCUGGCCUGGGGAGCCCACCCUGCUCACUGACCUGGAAUCCUGGGGUGUGUCUCCAUCUUUCCUCGUUUCCUAGAUUCGUACACAGAUCAAGUUUCUGUGUCUGAGUUUUAGUGGUGCCUAGAUAAAUGUCUCUUCAGGUCCUGUUGGCAGGACUGAAAACAGCUUGGGACGUGACUGGGACAGUGCCAGCUCAGGGCCCUGGGACAGUCCUGUGUCCCUUCUCUGUCUCUGGGGGAAGUGCCCGCUUGACUUGAGAGCUGGUGUUUGGGGCAGGGGGGCUCGUGCCCUCGAGCCGGUCACUUCCAGAUGCCACUGGUCAGAGUCAACGCGUGAGGCUGCCCUUCCUGGUGUCUUUGUGUCCCUGGGAGUCAGUGUCUGCAGCAUGACUGAAAGGGGGGGGCGUUCAGGCUGUGCGCAUCCGACGCUGACCAGGGGGCCGGCAAGGCCAGGGCGCCGAGAAGCUGCCAAAGCAAAGAGCCUUCCUUCUUUAAGCCCGCAUUUUCGGUCAUUCCAACCACCGAAAAAUCCAUUCUACAAAGAAACGCUCAUCUCAUGUUAUAUAAUAACUUGAAAAUUAGUAGGACAAAUUCUCGAAAGCCACAUUUUUCUGAUAAGAGAGUAGUAGCAUUUUUAGGUGUAUUUUUAUGUCAAUCCCAGUUUGCUAGUGCACCGUUUCCAACAAUUGAGUUUACUCUUAAGGGCUCUUUUGGCACUUGGGAGUGUGAAAACAAACUGAUAUAUACGUGUAAUUUGCAGGAAUUACUCCAGCAGUCACGGUGGACUUGUUCCCUCAAAGGGGCAGCUUUCCCUGUGAGCAGCAGGGCCCGCACGGCCUCCCCACCGCCAUCUCCACGCGCAGGCGGUGAACAGUGGCGCACUCGAAGCUCUUAAAGAUCGGGGGUCUCUUUACAUAAGUCAGUCCUUACAAAGUCGAUCUUCAACUGAAAAGGCUCCGUUCAGAGAGCUCCCUGGUGGCUCACUGGGUUAAGGAUCCGGUGUCAUCACUGCCGUGGUGCAGGUUUGACCCCUGGCCCAGGAACUUCUGCACGGCGUGGGGGUGGCUGGAGGAAAAAAAAGCACUGUUCGUAUUUGCUGUUUGUGGGCCCCCUUGAAUUGAGACUCGAGACAAAGCGUACAAGGAUGUCUCCAAUUCGAAAAGUUUGACUUCUCGAAGGAAAACGUUGAAACAGUAUUUAUUUUGGAUUGAGUCUUUCUCCGCCUUCCCCCUUGCCUUUUUAUAUGUGCACAAGCCUCUCCUUCGUCUUGCAUUUCUCUUUCUCUUGUUUUAAAGUUCUGGGCAGUGAAACAGUUCUGGUGUAAAAGAGAAAACCUGCCGUCGCGUGGCCUCCACUCCGUGCUGACAGGUCUGCCUCAGACUCACAUCCCUCUUUUGGGGAAGAAGCGGAGCGUGCCCGCUGUGGGUGGGCCUCACUGUCGCCCCCCCCCCCCCAAGGGUUGUCCUUUUCCUUCCUGGGGGGGGACUUGGGGCAGCCAGGCUUGUGGGAGCCGUGGCGGGUCCCCUGGAAGCCGCGCGGGCAGCUCAGAGUCCGUCGGGGAGGGUGCCGGGACCCGGGACUUGAAAGACACCUCAGUCCUUCAUUUCUGCAUCGCUGUGUCUUUUCCCGGUUAUCAGAGCAGCACGUUUCUUGUAAAAGAGAGCGCGUCGCGGAUGGGUGGCGUGCUGGCUCCGGUCCUCCAGCCGGACAGGGCGGCGCCCAGCGCCUGGAUGGAGCGAGGGGGCUGGAGGCAAGGACCCUGAGGACCCGCGCCCCCUGCCUGCCACCCACCCCGCCGGGCACCGCCCCGCACCCGGGAGGCCGCGGCUCCACUGCCCUCGCCUUAAACGUCACCGUCUGUGCGGUUUCCUUUCAAGACAUCCCUCAAAGGUGUUGUUUUAAAGGAAAAUUCUGGAAAUUUGAAGACACUCUCGAGACGCUAGAGAACUUGUCCAAACGAAUUUUUAAAGAGAGCGCUUGGCUGUCUCCAUGGAGUCCCCGGUCUCACGGGGCGUCGACCGCACCGUCCAGGGGUCACUGAGUUUCUCGACCCUCCUGGAAUCUUGAAGCAGGAACUGUUUGAGGUGCCUGUUUCAUUGUUCUUGUUUGGUUUUUUUGGUUUGGGGAGAGGAAAUGUGAGAACAUGCACAUGGGAGAACGUUGGUGACCUCGGGGAAGAAGCUGAAACCUCCCUUCAUUGCACUGGGAGUGAUGCGUUUCUGUGAUGAGUCGAUGGCUGUAGCAGAGCCUUGCCUGGGACAGUGCUUCUCACUCCAUCCUCCUCUGUGGGGGCUUUAAAAAUACUUAUCUGGAUUUCCCAGCAUGACUCAGCAAUAAUGAACCUGGCUAGUGUCCAUGGACGCAGGUUCGAUCCCUGGCCUUGCUCAAUGGGUUAAGGAUCCAGCAUUGCCGUGAGCUGUGGUGUGGGUUGAAGACAAGGCUCGGAUACUGGGUGGGUGGCUGUGGUGUAGGCUGGCAGCUGCAGCUCUGAUUCGACCCCGAGCCUGGGAGCUUCAUAUGCUGCGGGUGUGGCCCUAACAAGACACACUUUAUUGAAGUACAACUGAUGUGUAAGGUGUUAGUUUCAGAUGGAGGGAAAAGUGAUUCAGUACACAUAUAUAUACACACAUAUUUUUAUUUCUUUCCAGAUUCUGUUCCUGUGUAGGCCCUUUCAAAACGUUGAGUAUAGUUUCCCACACUCCACAGCAGGUCCAAGUCGGUCUCCUUGGGAUUUGUUUGUUUUCCAUUUUUGGCUGCCCCACGGCAUGUGGCGUUCCCAGCUUACCCGCACAACGCCAAGCCCUUUACCCACGUGCCGGGCCGGGGAUCGAACCGGGGUCCUGGUGCUGCAGCGACGCCGUCGAUGCUGUUGUGCCACAGCGGAAGCUCCUCCGUGGUGUGUUUUGAUGUAAGGCUGGUUGGGGCGGCGUCAGUAGCGGAUCGAUGGCUGCCCUCGGUGGCCCCUAAGGCUGCAGCUUAGCACCGGGAGGGAGAGCCGGCGUUGCUCUCCUCGAUCCGGCGCGUCCGGACCGCGCACCUGCUCAGGCCCGGGACCAUCGCUGGGUGACAGGCUCCAUGAGGCCGCCCAGCCGGCCACCCUCCAGCCACGUCAGGGGGGCGAGCACAGUGGGACACGGGGUGCCGGCUGAGCAGGUGGCCUGCUGUGCUUUUCCCGUUAGCGUGUUUCAAUUUUGGGGACAAACUCUGGAAUGUAAGAGACAUAAAGUAAAACCCAGCAGUCUGAACAAUCAGAUUUUCCCGCUUCUCCCGUCACGUUCCGUCAUCCUGUGUGACAAGCGCGGCGUGGAGCCGGGUUUAGGUGUCUGUGCUGUUGUGACUUCAGGACCCGAGAGCCACAACCCAGCUGCGGAGGCCGUGCCCUGUGUGCGUUUACGAGCCGUUUGCACAUGUCUUGGGGUCGCUUGGGGGGAACAAGCAAAUUUAUGUCCAAGAGGGGUUCUGGGCCGGCGCCGUCCUGGCCGCUCCUCUGGGGUCCCCGCCUCGCUGGCUCCGCGUGGUGCCCAGCAGUCCCCAGGCUCCACUUUCCCGUCUGGACUCUGAACGUCCAGGGCCUGCCCGCCCCUGCCUCCUUCCCGGUCCCCCGCUGUCCUCCCGGGGGUCUGCAGGGUCGCCCUGUUUCCUCUCCGGUCGCCCCACCCGACCCCCUCCUCUUCCAUUGGACUGGUGUGCCCCCGUGGGCAGUGCCCUCUCCGGGAACACUGGAGCCAGGCAGGAGCAGCACAUCCCAGGACACAAAUGCAAAAGAUCUUUCUGUCUGUUUUUCUCCUCUUCACCCGACACCAAGCACCACUCCUGCCUUCCCACCUCGGGCUCCAAAUUAAAAGAAUUGUAUGCAGGAGUUCCCAUUGUGGCUCAGCAGGUUAAGAACCCCACCAGCAUCCAUGAGGAUGUGGGUUUGAUUCCUGGCCUCACUCA